GACGAACGCUGGCGGCAUGCUUUAUACAUGCAAGUCGUGCGGCAGCGCGGGGGCAACUCUGGCGGCGAGCGGCGAACGGGUGAGUAAUACAUAGGAACGUAUCCUGAAAUGGGGGAUAGCUCGGCGAAAGCCGGAUUAAUACCGCAUACGCUCCACGGAGGAAAGCAGGGGGAUCGCAAGACCUUUGCGUUUCUGGAGCGGCCUAUGUCUGAUUAGCUAGNGGCGGGGUAAUAGCCCACCAAGGCGACGAUCAGUAGCUGGUCUGAGAGGAUGAUCAGCCACACUGGGACUGAGACACGGCCCAGACUCUACGGGAGCAGCAGUGGGAAUCUUGCGCAAUGGGACGAAAGCCUGACGCAGCGACGCCG
rnacentral:rRNA from 1 species